CUUCUCUCUCUACCACGUUGCCGUUUUUAUAGUACCCCAUGCCCUUCCGCUAACCAAAACUCUCGAGAAAACGCUGAUUAGUGAUUCCUCUCUAAUCUAUGAAUCAUUCAAAAUGAACAAACGUUGCGUCCUUUUCUCCUUCUCUUCUCCGUCGGAUCGCCGUCCUCCUCCGCUUCUUGCCGUGUGAUGGUUAGUUUGUGACCUAACAUGGAGGCGAGGAAGCCAAAGAAUAGAAACGGAUGCGGAUACGGCCUUUUCUUUUCAUUAGGUAUGUGCAUUACCACUGAGUACCGCAUCAUUGGACUGGGCGAUGCAGUUUUCCAUAUCAAACAUUAAUGGUUUGACUCGCGGCUUUGUUCACUAAACUCAGGUUGUAGUAUAGGCAUCUUUCGAGAGAAAUUGAAGAAUCCUAUAUAAGCUUACUAGUUUAUAGUUAAAUUGAAAUUAUGAAUGAGUAAUAACAUAAUGCCUAUAAGCUUAUAAUUAAAUUGUUGGAUGGUGUACAAACAGAUACCUUCUCUUCUGAAGCAGGAUUCAUAAGGUGAUGAUGUUCCUCUUUUA